rnacentral:rRNA from 1 species
AGAGUUUGAUCCUGGCUCAGGACGAACGCUGGCGGCGCGCCUAACACAUGCAAGUCGAACGAGCGAGAGAGAGCUUGCUUUCUCGAGCGAGUGGCGAACGGGUGAGUAACGCGUGAGGAACCUGCCUCAAAGAGGGGGACAACAGUUGGAAACGACUGCUAAUACCGCAUAAGCCCACGGGUCGGCAUCGACCAGAGGGAAAAGGAGCAAUCCGCUUUGAGAUGGCCUCGCGUCCGAUUAGCUAGUUGGUGAGGUAACGGCCCACCAAGGCGACGAUCGGUAGCCGGACUGAGAGGUUGAACGGCCACAUUGGGACUGAGACACGGCCCAGACUCCUACGGGAGGCAGCAGUGGGGAAUAUUGCACAAUGGGGGAAACCCUGAUGCAGCGACGCCGCGUGGAGGAAGAAGGUCUUCGGAUUGUAAACUCCUGUUGUUGAGGAAGAUAAUGACGGUACUCAACAAGGAAGUGACGGCUAACUACGUGCCAGCAGCCGCGGUAAAACGUAGGUCACAAGCGUUGUCCGGAAUUACUGGGUGUAAAGGGAGCGCAGGCGGGAAGACAAGUUGGAAGUGAAAUCUAUGGGCUCAACCCAUAAACUGCUUUCAAAACUGUUUUUCUUGAGUAGUGCAGAGGUAGGCGGAAUUCCCGGUGUAGCGGUGGAAUGCGUAGAUAUCGGGAGGAACACCAGUGGCGAAGGCGGCCUACUGGGCACCAACUGACGCUGAGGCUCGAAAGUGUGGGUAGCAAACAGGAUUAGAUACCCUGGUAGUCCACACCGUAAACGAUGAUUACUAGGUGUUGGAGGAUUGACCCCUUCAGUGCCGCAGUUAACACAAUAAGUAAUCCACCUGGGGAGUACGACCGCAAGGUUGAAACUCAAAGGAAUUGACGGGGGCCCGCACAAGCAGUGGAGUAUGUGGUUUAAUUCGAAGCAACGCGAAGAACCUUACCAGGUCUUGACAUCCGAUGCAUAGCACAGAGAUGUGUGAAAUCCUUCGGGACAUCGAGACAGGUGGUGCAUGGUUGUCGUCAGCUCGUGUCGUGAGAUGUUGGGUUAAGUC